GCUUUAAACCCUCUGAAACAUGAUUCAACGUUUAAGAAACCAUUCAGCUGCUCUGAGUGUGGGAAAAUAUUUGCCAACAAGGCACACCUGAAGAUACACAUGAGAACUCACACAGGAGAGAAGCCUUUCAGCUGCAGUGUUUGUAAGAAAUCUUUUAGAGUAAGUGGAGGUUUACAGUACCACAUGAAAACUCACACAGGUGAAAAACCUUUCAGCUGCUCUGAGUGUGAUAAAGCUUUCACUGUAAGUGGAACCCUGAAGAAACACAUGAGAACUCACACAGGAGAGAAGCCUUUCAGCUGCAGUGUUUGUAAGAAAUCUUUUACACAGGGUGGACAUUUACGGUCACACAUGGCAGUCCACACAGGAGUGAAAAUAUUCAGCUGCAGUGUUUGUAACAGAACAUUUGCCCGGCGUUCUGAUGUCAAAACACAUAAAUGUGUUGGUCCGAUGGAAACGGAAGCUGAUAGAGAGGACUGUGGAGGACCAGAACUAGCCACGAGCUCACAUCCACAACCAGAGACUGAAGACCAGACUGGAGACUCUUCUGAUCCUGAGACCGAUGACAUGGAGUAACGUUUGUGACUUUAAGUCUGAGCAAAACUUCUUAAGUAUCAAACAAAACUCUUUAUGUAUCAACAUCUACAGUAUAUAGAAGACAUUAUAUUGUGUGGUAGGAAAGAGUACACUCUUAUUUUAAAUAUUUUAUUAGAUAUUGUUUUGUCUUGUAAUGUCUGUCAUAUAAUCAAGAAAUCAGACAAAUGUAACCACCCGAUAUUUUAUACGGCCCACAUAUAUAUUCACUUCUUUCUAAGUAACGUGUGUUUAGCAAGAUUCACUAAUAAUCAUGUAUCAAUAUGGGAGUUUAUUCAAUACACAUUGGGUUCAUGUUUUAAUUUUGUGUGUCAUGUUUAAGCACAAUUUAGGCCCAGCGGUCUCGGAGAGGAGACUUUUCUCUCUGUGUCAGGGAGACAGGAAGUGUAGGUUGAAAGCUAUCGUUAAGGGAGAUGUGAGGGAGUUAGCAUAGGGAAGUUAGCCUAGCAAGGUGUUUCCUGUCAGGGAGCGGAGGAGUUUUCUCUUUGAAGCAAAGCUGAGAUGGACAUAUUAUGAUCUGUAGAAAACUAUAAAAAGUCACUUGUGCAUUGCUAUGUUCCAAGGUAAUAUGAUCAGUGACACCAAAAUGAUUAAGGUCUUUUGACAUGUAUAGUGUAUCCUAUGCCAGCAUCCUUAUUUAGGCCACGGUAAAGCAAUAUAAUUGUUUGAUAUGACCGGUGUGGUACACCAGGACAUGCUGAGUACCCUCCAGGAUGAAAUAAAGUGAAAUCAUUUGAAGUACA